ACGCUUCUUUCCUCCCGAGUGCUUGCACUCAAUUGGAAAGAGGAGUGGCGGACGGGUGAGUAACACGUGGGUAACCUACCCAUCAGAGGGGGAUAACACUUGGAAACAGGUGCUAAUACCGCAUAACAGUUUAUGCCGCAUGGCAUAAGAGUGAAAGGCGCUUUCGGGUGUCGCUGAUGGAUGGACCCGCGGUGCAUUAGCUAGUUGGUGAGGUAACGGCUCACCAAGGCCACGAUGCAUAGCCGACCUGAGAGGGUGAUCGGCCACACUGGGACUGAGACACGGCCCAGACUCCUACGGGAGGCAGCAGUAGGGAAUCUUCGGCAAUGGACGAAAGUCUGACCGAGCAACGCCGCGUGAGUGAAGAAGGUUUUCGGAUCGUAAAACUCUGUUGUUAGAGAAGAACAAGGACGUUAGUAACUGAACGUCCCCUGACGGUAUCUAACCAGAAAGCCACGGCUAACUACGUGCCAGCAGCCGCGGUAAUACGUAGGUGGCAAGCGUUGUCCGGAUUUAUUGGGCGUAAAGCGAGCGCAGGCGGUUUCUUAAGUCUGAUGUGAAAGCCCCCGGCUCAACCGGGGAGGGUCAUUGGAAACUGGGAGACUUUGAGUGCAGA
rnacentral:rRNA from 1 species